CCUGCCUGCAUACACAUCUUCCAGUUCCCGCCUGCAUCCACAGCUUUGCUUGCCCACCCACAUCCACACCUGCCCGACUGCCCGCUGCUCAGUAUUCGCAGAACUCCACUAUGAACAACCUCUGCCACUAAGGGGACAGGGAGGAGGACAGCUGACCGAAAUGAAAAUAUAUUCCUUUUGACUUUACCACUCACGCGUGUGCAGUAACUUGGCCAGCAGAUGGACAACUUUUCUGAGUGACAUAUUUCUAUGAUGCCGUUGUCCGAGCAGGGCACAGCUUAUACCAAAUUAAAGGGCCCCAUACACGAGAACGAUAUGCCUGAGGCUGAAGCCGGAGGCGAUUUCCCUUGAACUCUCCCGGGAGCUUCCCAGGAGUGGUUGCAUACGAUUCCAUAUGAUUUGGUAUAUUUUGCAAGCGAUAUAUCGUAAACGAUCCCAGCCAUGCCUGAGGGAACCGACAUAUCACGAGUGCACCACUAACGAUCUAGGGGAGCCGAUCCGACCCUCACGGGAACGCGCAUCAGAUCGGAAACACCUUCAAAAUGCCCGAUUUCACAUGGAUAUAUCGGCCCGAAUGCCCUAAAUUGGCUGAAAUCGGGCAUUAUCGUUCUAGUGUCCUUAAGGUUCAGUCAUGUGAUGAGGGACAGAAAUCGCUUCUGUUUGUCCACAUAUUUUAUGACUGGAAGCCAUCAGCACUGGUUAUGCCUAUUACAUUGACAAUAAAUAAUUUGAAUUGAUCCUUGACCACCAACCCGGGGGCACCCCUGCAAGUGCGUCGAGGCACCCUGGAGUCCCAGUUUGGAAACCACUGUAUUAGACAACAGAAAGUCAUUACCUGUAACUGUGUUUGUAAGAAAAUAAAAAA